rnacentral:rRNA from 1 species
AGCGAACGCUGGCGGCAUGCCUAACACAUGCAAGUCGAACGAGAUCUUCGGAUCUAGUGGCGCACGGGUGCGUAACGCGUGGGAAUCUGCCCCUUGCUUCGGAAUAACAGUGAGAAAUUACUGCUAAUACCGGAUGAUGUCUUCGGACCAAAGAUUUAUCGGCAAGGGAUGAGCCCGCGUAGGAUUAGGUAGUUGGUGGGGUAAUGGCCUACCAAGCCGACGAUCCUUAGCUGGUCUGAGAGGAUGAUCAGCCACACUGGGACUGAGACACGGCCCAGACUCCUACGGGAGGCAGCAGUGGGGAAUAUUGGACAAUGGGCGAAAGCCUGAUCCAGCAAUGCCGCGUGAGUGAUGAAGGCCUUAGGGUUGUAAAGCUCUUUUACCAGGGAUGAUAAUGACAGUACCUGGAGAAUAAGCUCCGGCUAACUCCGUG